AGAGUUUGAUCAUGGCUCAGAUCCGAACGCUGGCGGCAUGCCUUACACAUGCAAGUCGAACGGCAGCAUAGGAGCUUGCUCCUGAUGGCGAGUGGCGAACGGGUGAGUAAUAUAUCGGAACGUGCCCUAGAGUGGGGGAUAACUAGUCGAAAGACUAGCUAAUACCGCAUACGAUCUACGGAUGAAAGUGGGGGAUCGCAAGACCUCAUGCUCCUGGAGCGGCCGAUAUCUGAUUAGCUAGUUGGUGGGGUAAAAGCCUACCAAGGCAACGAUCAGUAGCUGGUCUGAGAGGACGACCAGCCACACUGGGACUGAGACACGGCCCAGACUCCUACGGGAGGCAGCAGUGGGGAAUUUUGGACAAUGGGGGCAACCCUGAUCCAGCAAUGCCGCGUGAGUGAAGAAGGCCUUCGGGUUGUAAAGCUCUUUUGUCAGGGAAGAAACGGUGGUAGCGAAUAACUACUACUAAUGACGGUACCUGAAGAAUAAGCACCGGCUAACUACGUGCCAGCAGCCGCGGUAAU
rnacentral:rRNA from 1 species